rnacentral:rRNA from 1 species
UCUGUAGCAAGGUUAACCGAAUAGGGGAGCCGGAGGGAAACCGAGUCUUAAUUGGGCGUUAAGUUGCAGGGUAUAGACCCGAAACCCGGUGAUCUAGCCAUGGGCAGGUUGAAGGUUGGGUAACACUAACUGGAGGACCGAACCGACUAAUGUUGAAAAAUUAGCGGAUGACCUGUGGCUGGGGGUGAAAGGCCAAUCAAACCGGGAGAUAGCUGGUUCUCCCCGAAAGCUAUUUAGGUAGCGCCUCGUGAAUUCAUCUCCGGGGGUAGAGCACUGUUUCGGCUAGGGGGCCAUCCCGGCUUACCAACCCGAUGCAAACUGCGAAUACCGGAGAAUGUUAUCACGGGAGACACACGGCGGGUGCUAACGUCCGUCGUGAAGAGGGAAACAACCCAGACCGCCAGCUAAGGUCCCAAAGUCAUGGUUAAGUGGGAAACGAUGUGGGAAGGCCCAGACAGCCAGGAUGUUGGCUUAGAAGCAGCCAUCAUUUAAAGAAAGCGUAAUAGCUCACUGGUCGAGUCGGCCUGCGCGGAAGAUGUAACGGGGCUAAACCAUGCACCGAAGCUGCGGCAGCGAACGUAUCACUUAAAGCGAUUCAGCGGGUUACGAUUGACGGAGCGAAGCGACGUCAAAGCGUAUACAAAGUCGAGUCGGUUUAAGGAUACGUUCGUUGGGUAGGGGAGCGUUCUGUAAGCCUGUGAAGGUGGCCUGUGAGGGUUGCUGGAGGUAUCAGAAGUGCGAAUGCUGACAUAAGUAACGAUAAAGCGGGUGAAAAGCCCGCUCGCCGGAAGACCAAGGGUUCCUGUCCAACGUUAAUCGGGGCAGGGUGAGUCGACCCCUAAGGCGAGGCCGAAAGGCGUAGUCGAUGGGAAACGGGUUAAUAUUCCC